GGUUAAGCGACUAAGCGUACACGGUGGAUGCCCUGGCAGUCAGAGGCGAUGAAGGACGUGCUAAUCUGCGAUAAGCGCCGGUAAGGUGAUAUGAACCGUUAUAACCGGCGAUUUCCGAAUGGGGAAACCCAGUGUGACUCGUCACACUAUCAUUAACUGAAUCCAUAGGUUAAUGAGGCGAACCGGGGGAACUGAAACAUCUAAGUACCCCGAGGAAAAGAAAUCAACCGAGAUUCCCCCAGUAGCGGCGAGCGAACGGGGAGGAGCCCAGAGCCUGAAUCAGCAUAUGUGUUAGUGGAAGCGUCUGGAAAGGCGCGCGAUACAGGGUGACAGCCCCGUACACAAAAGCGCAUGUGCUGUGAGCUCGAUGAGUAGGGCGGGACACGUGGUAUCCUGUCUGAAUAUGGGGGGACCAUCCUCCAAGGCUAAAUACUCCUGACUGACCGAUAGUGAACCAGUACCGUGAGGGAAAGGCGAAAAGAACCCCGGCGAGGGGAGUGAAAAAGAACCUGAAACCGUGUACGUACAAGCAGUGGGAGCACCCUUUGGGGUGUGACUGCGUACCUUUUGUAUAAUGGGUCAGCGACUUAUAUUCUGUAGCAAGGUUAACCGAAUAGGGGAGCCGGAGGGAAACCGAGUCUUAAUUGGGCGUUAAGUUGCAGGGUAUAGACCCGAAACCCGGUGAUCUAGCCAUGGGCAGGUUGAAGGUUGGGUAACACUAACUGGAGGACCGAACCGACUAAUGUUGAAAAAUUAGCGGAUGACCUGUGGCUGGGGGUGAAAGGCCAAUCAAACCGGGAGAUAGCUGGUUCUCCCCGAAAGCUAUUUAGGUAGCGCCUCGUGAAUUCAUCUCCGGGGGUAGAGCACUGUUUCGGCUAGGGGGCCAUCCCGGCUUACCAACCCGAUGCAAACUGCGAAUACCGGAGAAUGUUAUCACGGGAGACACACGGCGGGUGCUAACGUCCGUCGUGAAGAGGGAAACAACCCAGACCGCCAGCUAAGGUCCCAAAGUCAUGGUUAAGUGGGAAACGAUGUGGGAAGGCCCAGACAGCCAGGAUGUUGGCUUAGAAGCAGCCAUCAUUUAAAGAAAGCGUAAUAGCUCACUGGUCGAGUCGGCCUGCGCGGAAGAUGUAACGGGGCUAAACCAUGCACCGAAGCUGCGGCAGCGACGCUGAUGCGUUGUUGGGUAGGGGAGCGUUCUGUAAGCCUGCGAAGGUGGCCUGUGAGGGUUGCUGGAGGUAUCAGAAGUGCGAAUGCUGACAUAAGUAACGAUAAAGCGGGUGAAAAGCCCGCUCGCCGGAAGACCAAGGGUUCCUGUCCAACGUUAAUCGGGGCAGGGUGAGUCGACCCCUAAGGCGAGGCCGAAAGGCGUAGUCGAUGGGAAACGGGUUAAUAUUCCCGUACUUGGUGUUACUGCGAAGGGGGGACGGAGAAGGCUAUGUUGGCCGGGCGACGGUUGUCCCGGUUUAAGCGUGUAGGUGUGUGUUCCAGGUAAAUCCGGUUCACUUUAACACUGAGGCGUGAUGACGAGGCACUACGGUGCUGAAGCAACAAAUGCCCUGCUUCCAGGAAAAGCCUCUAAGCAUCAGGUAACAUCAAAUCGUACCCCAAACCGACACAGGUGGUCAGGUAGAGAAUACCAAGGCGCUUGAGAGAACUCGGGUGAAGGAACUAGGCAAAAUGGUGCCGUAACUUCGGGAGAAGGCACGCUGACACGUAGGUGAAGUGAUUUACUCAUGGAGCUGAAGUCAGUCGAAGAUACCAGCUGGCUGCAACUGUUUAUUAAAAACACAGCACUGUGCAAACACGAAAGUGGACGUAUACGGUGUGACGCCUGCCCGGUGCCGGAAGGUUAAUUGAUGGGGUCAGCGCAAGCGAAGCUCCUGAUCGAAGCCCCGGUAAACGGCGGCCGUAACUAUAACGGUCCUAAGGUAGCGAAAUUCCUUGUCGGGUAAGUUCCGACCUGCACGAAUGGCGUAAUGAUGGCCAGGCUGUCUCCACCCGAGACUCAGUGAAAUUGAACUCGCUGUGAAGAUGCAGUGUACCCGCGGCAAGACGGAAAGACCCCGUGAACCUUUACUAUAGCUUGACACUGAACAUUGAGCCUUGAUGUGUAGGAUAGGUGGGAGGCUUUGAAGUGUGGACGCCAGUCUGCAUGGAGCCGACCUUGAAAUACCACCCUUUAAUGUUUGAUGUUCUAACGUGGACCCGUGAUCCGGGUUGCGGACAGUGUCUGGUGGGUAGUUUGACUGGGGCGGUCUCCUCCUAAAGAGUAACGGAGGAGCACGAAGGUUGGCUAAUCCUGGUCGGACAUCAGGAGGUUAGUGCAAUGGCAUAAGCCAGCUUGACUGCGAGCGUGACGGCGCGAGCAGGUGCGAAAGCAGGUCAUAGUGAUCCGGUGGUUCUGAAUGGAAGGGCCAUCGCUCAACGGAUAAAAGGUACUCCGGGGAUAACAGGCUGAUACCGCCCAAGAGUUCAUAUCGACGGCGGUGUUUGGCACCUCGAUGUCGGCUCAUCACAUCCUGGGGCUGAAGUAGGUCCCAAGGGUAUGGCUGUUCGCCAUUUAAAGUGGUACGCGAGCUGGGUUUAGAACGUCGUGAGACAGUUCGGUCCCUAUCUGCCGUGGGCGCUGGAGAACUGAGGGGGGCUGCUCCUAGUACGAGAGGACCGGAGUGGACGCAUCACUGGUGUUCGGGUUGUCAUGCCAAUGGCACUGCCCGGUAGCUAAAUGCGGAAGAGAUAAGUGCUGAAAGCAUCUAAGCACGAAACUUGCCCCGAGAUGAGUUCUCCCUGAGACUUAGAGUCUCCUGAAGGAACGUUGAAGACGACGACGUUGAUAGGCCGGGUGUGUAAGCGCAGCGAUGCGUUGAGCUAACCGGUACUAAUGAACCGUGAGGCUUAACCUU
rnacentral:rRNA from 1 species